rnacentral:rRNA from 1 species
UGACCGUGCAAAGGUAGCGCAAUCACUUGUCUUUUAAAUGGAGACCCGUAUGAAUGGCAAGACGAGGGCUUGACUGUCUCCUUUUUCAAGUCAAUGAAAUUGAUCUUCCCGUGCAGAAGCGGGAAUUUUAACAUAAGACGAGAAGACCCUAUGGAGCUUUAGACACCAAGACAGACCACGUCAAAACCCCCUAACUCAAAGGACUGAACUAGGUGGACCCUGUCCUAAUGUCUUUGGUUGGGGCGACCACGGGGAAACACAAAACCCCCGCGCGGAACGGGAGCACCCUACUCCUAAAACUAAGAGCCU